rnacentral:rRNA from 1 species
CACGUAGGGUGCAAGCGUUGUCCGGAAUUAUUGGGCGUAAAGGGCUCGUAGGCGGUCCGUCACGUCGGGAGUGAAAACUCGGGGCUCAACCCCGAGCCUGCUUUCGAUACGGGCGGACUAGAGGUAGGCAGGGGAGAACGGAAUUCCUGGUGUAGCGGUGGAAUGCGCAGAUAUCAGGAGGAACACCGGUGGCGAAGGCGGUUCUCUGGGCCUUACCUGACGCUGAGGAGCGAAAGCGUGGGGAGCGAACAGG